rnacentral:tRNA from 1 species
GAGAUCGGCCUGGGUGAAGGUGUCGUACACCCCCAUGCUGAUCCACGUCGAGCCGUUGAAGCGCUGCAGCACGCCGUUCCAUGCGCCGCCGGUCACGCC